rnacentral:lncRNA from 10 species
GCAAACCAGUGGGGGCUGGCUUUAUAAUGGUAAGGGUAUUAACUUUACCCUUUGGAAAUAUAUUAACUACUUUCUCUGAGUUUACUUCCAAUAGGCUCCAGUUCCCUACGGAUGUGCCUCCUCACUCUUUGAAACUGAAACCAGAGAACCAAGUCAUGCGGAGGACCAGCUGCAACCACAAUGGAUCGGCCCUUCUGAGGUGCUGCUGGCCAGCCACCCUUCUGUUCUUAACCAGUGUUGAGACUUGGAUUCACCAGACUUGGGAAAUCUACUCUCAGGCAAGAAACUAAAACUCACCGGAUCAUUUCAUCUGAACAACAAUAUUCCAGACCACUCAUCAAUCAUGAUUGCUUCCUUACCUCCAUGAAUUCCUGCUUUCCCACCUCCCUGCUUCCCUGCUAUAUACACCUCCCGAUUUUAGUCGGUCAAGGAGAUGGCUUUGAGACCUUAUCUCCCAUUCUCCUUGGCUGCAGCACCUGAUUAAAGCCCGCUUCCCUGUCAGUACUCAUUGCCUCAGUGAUUGGGAUUCCGUCCGUGCAGCAAGCAACAGGACCUAGACUGAACCCCUGGCAUUUUGGUAACAUCGAGACAGAGCCUCUAUUAAAUGGAGCUCCUGAGUAACUAGGAUGGACACAGUGCCCCUGAUGAACCACAAUGAACAUGAAGCAUGAGUUACAAAUAAGCAGCAUUGUUUCAAGUCACCAAGAUGUUCAUGUAGCUUAUUAUUGUAGCAUAAGCUAAUCUAUGUUUACUGAUACAACAUCUCAAUUUGUUUCUUUCUCUGAAGCGCAAGUUCUACUUCUCCUGCUGCCGUCAACAUUUCUAUAUGAUUUUACUUAUAGAA